CUUUUUAAAAGAUCCUGGAGCAUGGGUAGUUUUUCCUUUGUCAGGCCUAUCCCCAUGACAUAGAAUUUUCUCUUGGAUUUACAGGCCACAUCGUUUUCUAUCUGAUGUUUCUCACCCUAAAAGGCAAACCUCCUAAAGUGGAUCUCACAUAAAAUAACCCCAGGCUGACAUUUCUACUUGGAAUCUAUAUGUGAGUGCCAUGAUUAACCCAUAUUUGACCCACUUUCAGAGAUAAAGGAAGUAACUUCUCAGUUUUAGCCUUUUAUUCUGUUGCCAAAUAUCACUUGCACUUUAUAAGGCAUGAGCCACAAACUUUGGGAAACACAAAUAAAGCUUUCCAGGUAGCCUCUUCAAAACCUUUCUCACUGCCCUGGAGGUGAGAACCAGACACUACCCAUGUCUUCCCCACUGUGACAUUAGGAUUCCUAGAAACCUGAUGACGUUCUCAAAAUUUCUUUUUACAGAACUUUAUUACCAGUUCUCAGCUGCUGAAAAUGUUAAAAAUGAUCCAGGGCUUAAAGAGGUUUCUGAUAACUUUGGAGAUUGCGACAUCAGGAUAGAGGAAAAACUUUCAGGAUUCAUGAAGAGCUGAAAUGCUUAUGAAUGUCAAGCAGAACAGGAACUAACCAUACAGACUGAACUAACAGAAGACAAGUAAUCUUUUUUGUUUUGCUUAAAAUGAUGCUGAUUCUUUGUUUUGUUUUCCAGAGUCAAGGAAACUUUUCUUUUGCACUAUUGACAGCUUUUAACAAUUAAGUAUACUCCUAUAAACAAAAUUUGAAUCAUACUUGUUUCUCUCUACCUGAUUCCUCCAGAAUUUGGAAAGUAUUUGUGAAUAUUCUUAACUUAUUAUAUAGUUAUUUGCAUAAGUGCAAUAACAAUCUAUUUUCAUUUGUAUCAGGACACAAUGAGAGAAAAUGGUUGUUUUACAAAGGCUUUGACUGGAAGGAUGUGCUUUCCUUUGACUUACAGAGCUGAUAAAAGCCCCUUGGGAAAACUGGCUUCAUACCCGGUCUACACAAUAACUGUACACGAUUCCUGACCUUUUACAAAGGCUUCGACUGAAGUGAUGUGCUUUCCUUUGACUUAUAGAGCUGAUAAAAGCCUCUUGGGAAAACUGGCUUCAUACCUGAUCUACACAGUCACUGUACAGGGUUCAUGACCUAUCAUAAGUAAAGUAUGCUACUUUCUGACAGUCCCAGGGCCCCAAGUUAUCUUGAGACCUCAAGAGGAGAAGAAUUCACCCACGUCAUAGAUAUUUGAUGGUACAAAUUCAAUGGCUUUGAUGGAAUCAAAAGACUUUAAGAAUUUCAAAAUGUUUUAUCUCAGAUUCCUUCUAUGGAGCAAAGUUCCAUCAAGGCCAAUUUAAAAAGCAUAUGUAAAAAAUAAUUAUUCUUGCUUCACUUUAUAUAAACAAUCUGGCCAAGUGUAACAAGCAAAUCAGUCCUACAAUGAUGGAUCUUUAGUAAAAAUGGGAAACUGGAGAGAGAAAAAUUAUGUUUUAAAAAGUAUAGUAUACCUGUUCUUAAAGUCUUGCCUAAUGUUUUUCAACUUUUAAUAUUUUCUACAGUUUGGACUGAAUUCUAAUUUUCCUUGGCUACAAGUCUUCAAAAUAAUGUUUUCAAUUGUUUUCCCCAUUUUCCUAAUUUGGAGUCACUGAAAACUAAGCUGUACUUUUGUAAAGCCCUGCAAACUGAAGCUAGACAACCUAAACUUUGGAAGAAAAUAACAGCAACAUAUUUACAUUCAUAAGCCACUUUUAUACCUGCCUACUGAUGUAUGGCCUUCAGAGUAUUGUGGCCUAUAUCAGUUUUCCAGGAUUGUUCUUUCCUUUGUUGCUGGUUUUUCUCCCUCCCCUGUUUCCUCUUCACAGGGCAUGAGACUUCUCAACCUGCUAAAAAUGAUCUUUCCUAAUAACUUAGUACCUAUCUGUCUAGGAAAAAAAUAUACUAAUAGUCAGAGAUCAGACAAAACCUGAGACCAGAGACUGAUUUUUUUUUCUAAAUUGUUUUCUCCAAAAGACUUUUACAAAGAAAAUGGGGAAAUGUGAAAGAAAAAUAAAUCUUGGAAAUCUUGGGGCCUCCAAAAUCACUAAGCUAAAGGAAAAAAUCAAGCUGGGAACUGCUUAGGGCAAAAAUACCUCCCCUUUUAUUCAAAUUCAUCUCU
ensembl:lncRNA